rnacentral:misc_RNA from 1 species
AGAUGAAGGAUCCAAGCCUUCUGGCGAUCUAGACAAAACAAGUCCACCGUGGGCUUUGAAAAACGCUUUCCUUGAUAAAAUUUAAGCGUUUUAUAAGAGGAUGCCGGGGAAGGUUUUCCGGUUUAUCCCGGAGGGCUUGUAGCUCAGUUGGUUAGAGCGCGCGCUUGAUAAGCGUGAGGUCGGAGGUUCAAGUCCUCCCAGGCCCACCAGUUUAUCCAUUACUUUCAUAAGUGCUUUUAAAAAAUAAGUACUUCUAAAAAGAUUGCUUCUAAAAAGCUUAUCAAAAUUGGCAGGCUUAUUGCUUUUGUGUGAGUAAUCCAAAGUUAAAGCAAAUUAAUGGCAAAAAAACAGUUCAAAUGCUAAAUACUAAGGAGUCAAAAUUCCUUGCAAAGUGAUUUUUACAGCGUCCAUUUGGUUGAUAUAAAUUCCAAAUGCUCAUAGACGUCAAUGCCUAUAUGAAACUAUCGGUUCAAUCAUAUCGCUUUGAGUUAUAUAGAUUUUGUAAUCCCUCUUUUGAUCGUUUUAAACGCUUUAUCCUGAUUUAGGGGCCGUAGCUCAGCUGGGAGAGCACCUGCUUUGCAAGCAGGGGGUCGUCGGUCGAUCCCUCCGUUCCCCUU